CGCGCAGACGCUUGGCUGGGUCCCGGAACGCGGUCACGCGCGCCCGCCGCUCAGACUGGGCGACCGGCGAGAAGGCGGUGCCGCCGCGGGGCCGGAGUCGGCAAGGCGCAGAGCCCCGGGUCCGGCCACGGGCGGCGCGCCCCGAGCUCAGCGUCCCGGGCGCGCAAGGGUGAACUCGCGGCGCCGAGUCGGAGCGGCCCCGGUGGGGCGCGGGGCGCGCGCGGCUCGGAGCUGGGGGCAGACCCUAGGCUGCCCCUGGACGCUGCGACCUCCCACCUCGGGGUCUUCCCCCUGCGCGCGGCCCGCCCCAGUCCACCGGAAUUCGAGGCCCAGACCCGUCUGGGUACCCCUCCUCUGUGCCGAGGCGUCUCUCCUGCCGCGCCCGCUCGCCCCCGAAGGAUUAUUUUUGGCUUCCUGGCGCGGCAGCUCGGCAGCGCAGCCACCGAGCCCGAGGCAGCCAGGCGCCCCCCCACCCCCACACCGCGGGGAGGCAGGCGACCCGCCGGGGGGGGGGGGGCUGCGGUCCGGAGGAGGGGGCCUUCUCAAGAACCUUAAAAGUUGGAUCUUUUCCCCAGAGGAAACCAUCGAGGCUCACCUGGGCGAGAGAAGCUGCCCGGCAGCAGGCGAUCCUGGCCCACGCCCCUCACCCGCCAGAGGGGAGCCUGGCGGUGUAAACAAGGUCUAGGGGUCCCCCGUCGGGAUUGGAGAGCCGCACAACGGGAGAGUGGCCCCCGCCGCCUCCCGGCCCCACCGGCUCAGCGGGAGGAUGCAAGCGCCCCGGGAGUCUUCACUUCGACGGAGGCAAACGGGGACACGUGUGUCAGUGUGUGUGAACCCUGUGAUUGCAUUGGCCCCACCCAGAUAAUCCAGGAUAAUCUCACCCUUCUAGAGCCUUAACGUAGGGCUUCCUAAACGUCCGCAACGUCUCUUUCGCCAUAUAAGAUCGGCAAACAUGGCGGGUCUGCACACGGAAUUCCUCAAGAAGUGCUUGCGGGCUGACCUCCCCCAACGGCAUCCCCCUGGCAGAUGCAGCAGGACGGCUAGAGGCGGGGGCUGCACCCGGGUGCCAGGUGGCCACUGUGCUGAUGCGGAGAGACCGGAAGGGCACGGUCUGACACCCCACCUCCUCCUCGCUGGGCACGGCAGGCUGACGGGUCCCGGGAGGGAGGGACAGAUGGCUCCGAUGCAGAGUUAAAACGGUACAUUAGUCUUCCUGACUCGGAUGGCCUAGGAAAACCCAUAGCAUCGGAACUUGGCACUUGCAAACAAGCACAAAGUCCUACCAUUUUAGGCUGAGUUCCAGGUGCCAUGUGACAAGUGUCUGUGACUGCUCGGUUCUCAGACUGAGAACUCUGAGCACUUAAGGAGGGAAAACACUCAAUAUCUGCAAACUGUGAUUAGCAUGGGAUCGGGUCUGCCUCCUUCAGCUCUUGGCAGGCACGAGUGAUGUUCCCAAGGGGAGAGGCAUGUUGAGUCCUCAGGGGUGGAUCUCUUACUCGAUUUGCAGGCUUCAGCGUUGCGGGAGGCACACGGGCUGGGGCAAGACUGAGUGGGAGUGGGGAGCCACAGCAAAACUCAGGACACCGAGGGCCAUGUCCCUGCCGUCUUGGGCAUUUCUGAAAUGCUGGAGACCCUGAGUGGAAAGUUGGGGGGGCUAAUUCUAAUUCUAGACCAAGACCUACAUGUUGUGAGCGCUCAAUAAAGACUAGCAGGUCGGGGCGGGGGGGGGGGGGGGCGCCUGGGUGGCUCAGUCAUUAAACAUCUGCCGUCGGC